rnacentral:rRNA from 1 species
CCUACGGGAGGCAGCAGUGGGGGAUAUUGCACAAUGGGGGGAACCCUGAUGCAGCGACGCCGCGUGGGUGAAGAAGCGCCUCGGCGCGUAAAGCCCUGUCAGCAGGGAAGAAAAUGACGGUACCUGAAGAAGAAGCCCCGGCUAACUACGUGCCAGCAGCCGCGGGAAUACGUAGGGGGCAAGCGUUAUCCGGAUUUACUGGGUGUAAAGGGGGCGCAGACGGCGAUGCAAGCUAGGAGUGAAAGCCCGGGGCCCAACCCCGGGAAUGCUCUUGGAACUGCGUGGCUGGAGUGCAGGAGGGGCAGGCGGAAUUCCUGGUGUAGCGGUGAAAUGCGUAGAUAUCAGGAGGAACACCGGUGGCGAAGGCGGCCUGCUGGACUGCAACUGACGUUGAGGCCCGAAAGCGUGGGGAGCAAACAGGAUUAGAUACCCGUGUAGUC